AACGUAGGAGGCAAGCGUUAUCCGGAGUUACUGGGCGUAAAGGGUGCGCAGGCGGCCGCGCGCGUGGGUGGUGAAAUCUCCCGGCUCAACUGGGAGGGGGCCAUCCAGACGGCGUGGCUUGAGGCUCGGAGGGGGGCGUGGAAUUCCGGGUGGAGCGGUGAAAUGCGUAGAGAUCGGGAAGAACACCAGUGGCGAAGGCGGUCUGCUGGGCCGUUGCUGACGCUGAGGCGCGACAGCGUGGGGAGCAAACAGG
rnacentral:rRNA from 1 species